AGUGAAUAAAUUCCUUGUUUUGCUUUGUGUGCAUGGCUUUUGCUUUCCUAUUAAACUCUCUUUAUCUCAGCCCACAGAUUUUCUCAUUUUUACCCUUCUAAUUAUCUCCCCCAUCCCACUGGGGAGCAUGUGGCUGUGUGGGGCUAAGCUGCCCACUGGGGUUAAACCAUGACAGUCCUGUUUUGGUGACCUACUUGGGGCUCAAAUGCUUUGAGGUAAAGACAGGUUUGGUCGGAGUUUGCUAGACUGAAUUUAUAGCUUUUAGUGCUAUUUAGCUAUUAAUUGUCAGGGUGCUGUCCUUGCCACGCUGCGCUUUCGUCUAGAGAUUGUUAGUGGCUUCUUUUCACUCUGGCUGUUUGCUGUAGUGCUUAUCAUCCUACCCAGCUGUGGCUGGCAGCAUUUUGAUAACAGCCAUGGCAAUGUGCCUGGGCUGGCCCAUGGCCUGGGCUGCAGCUCCAGUGGCAGCUUCAGUUGAAGGGACCUGACCUGUGGAUAAGUCCCUGCAGGAGCAGGACAACCUGAAGUGUCUGUGGUUGUGGAUAAGAGCAUGUUGGAGCAGAAGCAUCUGUGGCCAUGGAUAUGUCUAUGGCACAGCAGGUACACCCUAGAGAGACUGUGGCCCUUGGAUAAGGCUGUGCUGGAGGAGGUGCACCUCAAAGUGACUGUGCAUAAGGCCAGGCCACAUUAGCUGUACUCUGGAGAGACUGUGGCCCAUGAGUAGGUCCACACUGGAGCUGGUCCACCCCUAAGGCACUGGAGUCUCUGGAUAAGUCCACACUGGAGCAGAGGCAAGGGGAACACCUGCACUGUCACCAUGGAGGAAGGAUGAACACUCUCACCCUUGGAUAGUAACUGCCUGCUCUGAUCAGAUCUCAAGCCUCACCUGGAUCCUGUGUGCCUGUGCUGGACCAGAAGGUAAAAAUCUCCAGCCUGCCAACAUUUCCUGCUCCAUCCCUCUUAGUCCAGACCUCACCUUUUACAUUGUGGGUUGACGACAGGCAGAAGGAUGAUGCUUGCAGUGAAUGAAAAGGUUAAAGUAUCUUUAGGACUACAGUCACUCUGCUGCACCAUGACUUCCUGAAUUUGUGGGGGUCAUUACAUUUUAAUGUCAAGAGAAGAGUUUAUUCUGGGGAGAAGAAGUUAUUUUGGACUACGGGAAAGACAUUAGUUUUGAUUUGUGUUGGGUCAGGUCAAAGAGGUGCUUUUGUAAAAUACUGGGAAGGGAGGACUUAAUCUUGGGGUGGGCUAUUACAGCUACAUUUUAUUGUAGGAAAAGGGUAGAUUAUGUUUGAUGUGGUGGAAAUUGGUUAUACCUGGUAAAAGAAGGUUAGAUUAAGAGUGAUUCUGAAUAGAAAAGUAAGAACUGUUUUACCUGAAGAUGGGAUUUCACUGAAUGUCUACGUGGGCUGACUACUGCCGUGAUAAUAGCUGGGUUUUGAUUAGAGGCAAAAGAAGAUGAAACAGACUAUUGGGAAGAUCAUGCAGAAGCAGCAAGAAAAAACAGUGUUUACCUUUCUCCUCUCAGUCCUGAGACAUUAUUGGUGGCACCUGCAAUGAAAAAAGACAAUGAGACCAACUUCAAUGGUCCAUGCAUGAAAAAAUACAGGUUUGUGAGUCCUCAUAACAUACUUUCAAUGAGGAACUAUUACUGGGCUGGAGAAGUUCAUUUAUGAAGAACAGGGUUAUAUGCAAAGCCAAAAGAGACAUGUGGGGUGGUUACAACAGACAGCUGGCAGUAACUCCAAACGGUGAUCACAGUCAGUAUUAAGCAUCUGUGGACUUAACCACAAAACUUCAAUUUUGGGGUAAAUUCUUUAGCUUGGGAGUGAGUGCUGAGAUAUGGUCUCUUGUUGGUUUACUUAAUUAUAUAAUGAACAGCUCUGAAGUUUUUAUUUGGAUUAAAAUUUCCCUGGAACUCAAGUAAUUUAGAUCUGAGGUUUUGGCUCUAGUCCCUCCCCAGCUUGUACUCAAUAUAAAUUACUCUCCUAGAACCAUGACAUGUUCAAUUUAUACUCCAUUUUAGAUGGCUGAAAAGUGCAUACAUAAUUCUGUGCAUGCCACAUUUUCUGUAAUCUACUGUGACGAAUAGACCAAAUGACUGAAACUGCUAGCUGAUACACUUUAUUUUAGUCAUGAACCCACACCCAGCCGUAGUUAAAAUACCAGGCAUCUGAAUUAUUUUAUUUGAAUCAAUGCCAAAUUCAAUCUUAUGCAAACACAGAAAGGGAGAGGGAAAAGACGUCCCAGUAUUAACCCAGUGAUUUAUGCGUGGGAACGCAAGGCCACAACAAACAGCAACAGGCCAAUUGUAACAAGAGGAGUGGCCCACCAUGAAAAAUCUGACUACUUUUCAUUGGAGCUGCUGUGAUUGAGGAGUUGGGAACAUGGUGAUACUUUUACUCAUAGAUAAUGUCCACAAGAAAAGUAGACUCAGGGAGCAGGAUUCCCCAAAUUCCACCUUCUGUCAAAAACAUUGGUCAAGCUCAGUGCACUCAUCUCCAUUCACAAUGGGAGGAUUUCCAUGGUGCAGUACAACAGACGAUAACAAAUAUUACCAUUCUGGAGAGAAAAAUAGGAAAUAGUUAUAUCACACCUGCUUGAGAUAAAUAUAUAUUUUUUCAUUAUCUAAUUCCUAAUAACUAUGUAAAAUUAAGAGCUGUGUCCAGAAAUAAUGAGCCUUGGUGCUGAGUUUGGAUCUCCUGGCUCAAUCUGACUUGCCCAUUAGGACCAUGACUUUAUGUACAGAGAGGCAAAGUCACCUGAACAUUCCUCAGGAGAAAGGAGGACUGUCUAGAAUUUUGUCAGCAUUAGACAUCCCAUAGGGAUAAUGACUUGGAGGAUUAUUUUAUACUCUGAAAUAUUACUAUUUUUCUAAGGGCUCUUUUUACUAUGUACCAAGACCAUGUUUGCAGAACCAAAUUAUAGGAAAGGCAGCCAAAACUUUUUAGCUACACCUUCUAAUUCCAGCAUUCAACUCAACCAAACCAAAGAGGUUUCUGGGUACUGGCCUUGAAAGCUUGUUACUGAAGUUCUCUUUACCCACUGGUGCCCAGAGAAGCUCUGAAUGAACUUCCUCUGAAGUUACACAUGGAAAGGUUCAACUCCUUACAGUUCUUUAAGCAAUUUUCUCCUCAGCCAGAGACCUAUCCCCUAAUUUGAUGCCUCUCAGUGGAAAUAUUUUUUCUCUCAAUUGUCACGCCAAACAGUUGUCCGCUUUGUUAGUUUCUUCACAGAAAGGCACCUGUUCAAUUUUAGAUACUGUUCAGCCUGUUCCACUUCAGUGGUCUGCACUACUCCUCCGAGAGCCCUGAGCUUUCCACAUAUUUCAGGCUGCCAGCUCUCUUAUGUGCUUUUCCCCAGCAGCCAAUUUUGCUUGGAAGCUCUUACGACUGAGCCAGCUUCCAUUCCUUCAUAAAGGGAUACCCUCUUGUUAUUGCAAUUGAGGAGUUUCAUAAGAGGCUUUUAAUGUCUCCAGAGUGUUGUUGUGUACAAUAAAAUCUUGAAUUAAGCUUUACCUAACACUUG